UACGUAGGUGGCGAGCGUUGUCCGGAUUUACUGGGCGUAAAGGGAGCGUAGGCGGACUUUUAAGUGAGAUGUGAAAUACCCGGGCUCAACUUGGGUGCUGCAUUUCAAACUGGAAGUCUAGAGUGCAGGAGAGGAGAAUGGAAUUCCUAGUGUAGCGGUGAAAUGCGUAGGGAUUAGGAAGAACACCAGUGGCGAAGGCGAUUCUCUUGACUGUAACUGACGCUGAGGCUCGAAAGCGUGGGGAGCAAACAGGAUUAGAUACCCUGGUA
rnacentral:rRNA from 1 species